GACGUAGGGCGCGAGCGUUGUCCGGAUUUAUUGGGCGUAAAGAGCUCGUAGGCGGCUUGUCGCGUCGUCUGUGAAAUCCCGCGGCUCAACUGCGGGCUGGCAGUCGAUACGGGCAGGCUGGAGUUCGGUAGGGGAGACUGGAAUUCCCGGUGUAGCGGUGAAAUGCGCAGAUAUCGGGAGGAACACCAAUGGCGAAGGCAGCUCGCUGGGACGUUACUGACGCUGAGACGCGAAAGCGUGGGGAGCAAACAGG
rnacentral:rRNA from 1 species